rnacentral:rRNA from 1 species
GAUGAACGCUGGCUACAGGCUUAACACAUGCCAGUCGAGGGGAAACGACGGGGAAGCUUGCUUCCCCGGGCGUCGACCGGCGCACGGGUGAGUAACGCGUAUCCAACCUGCCUCUGACUGAGGGAUAACCCGUCGAAAGUCGGCCUAAUACCUCAUGGCAUCGUCUGCGGGCAUCCAAUGACGAUUAAAGAUUUCAUCGGUCAGGGAUGGGGAUGCGUCUGAUUAGCUUGUUGGCGGGGUAACGGCCCACCAAGGCUACGAUCAGUAGGGGUUCUGAGAGGAAGGUCCCCCACAUUGGAACUGAGACACGGUCCAAACUCCUACGGGAGGCAGCAGUGAGGAAUAUUGGUCAAUGGGCGGGAGCCUGAACCAGCCAAGUAGCGUGCAGGAUGACGGCCCUAUGGGUUGUAAACUGCUUUUAUGCGGGGAGAAAGUGAGGGACGUGUCCUUCAUUGCAGGUACCGCAUGAAUAAGGACCGGCUAAUUCCGUG